rnacentral:rRNA from 1 species
CGCGUAGGCGGUUAUUCAAGUCUGGGGUGAAAGGUUCAGCGCUCAACGUGAACAGUGCCUUGGAUACUGGAUGACUUGAGUCUGGGAGGGGGAAGGGGAAUUCCUGGUGUAGCGGUGAAAUGCGUAGAUAUCAGGAGGAACACCGGUGGCGAAGGCGCCUUCCUGGCCUAAGACUGACGCUGAGGUGCGAAAGCGUGGGGAGCAAACGG